rnacentral:rRNA from 1 species
UACGAAGGGGGCUAGCGUUGCUCGGAAUCACUGGGCGUAAAGGGUGCGUAGGCGGUUCCUCAAGUCCGUUGUGAAAGCCCCGGGCUCAACCUGGGAAUGGCAGUGGAAACUAGGGGACUGGAAUCUGGCAGAGGGGGGGUGGAAUGCCGCGUGUAGCAGUGAAAUGCGUAGAGAUGCGGCGGAACACCGAUGGCGAAGGCAGCCCCCUGGGCUGAGAUUGACGCUCAGGCACGAAAGCGUGGGGAGCAAACAGG